rnacentral:rRNA from 1 species
UACAGAGGUGGCAAGCGUUGUUCGGAAUUACUGGGCGUAAAGGGCGCGUAGGCGGCCUUCUUAGUCGGACGUGAAAUCCCCAGGCUUAACUUGGGAACUGCGUCCGAUACUGGGAGGCUUGAGUGCGGGAGAGGGAUGUGGAAUUCCAGGUGUAGCGGUGAAAUGCGUAGAUAUCUGGAGGAACACCGGUGGCGAAGGCGGCAUCCUGGACCGACACUGACGCUGAGGCGCGAAAGCUAGGGGAGCAAACGGG